GCUGGCGGCGUGCCUAACACAUGCAAGUCGAACGAGAAAGUGGAGCAAUCCAUGAGUAAAGUGGCGACCGGGUGAGUAACACGUGACUACCUACCCUUGAGUGGGGGAUAACCUCGGGAAACCGAGGCUAAUACCGCAUAAUAUCGAAAGAUCAAAGGAGUAAUCCGCUUUUGGAGGGGGUCGCGGCUGAUUAGCUAGUUGGUAGGGUAAUGGCCUACCAAGGCGAAGAUCGGUAUCCGGCCUGAGAGGGCGCACGGACACACUGGAACUGAAACACGGUCCAGACUCCUACGGGAGGCAGCAGUGGGGAAUUUUGCGCAAUGGGGGAAACCCUGACGCAGCAACGCCGCGUGGAGGAUGAAGCCCCUUGGGGUGUAAACUCCUUUCGACCGGGAAAAUUAUGAUGGUACCGGUGGAAGAAGCACCGGCUAACUCUGUGCCAGCAGCCGCGGUAAUACAGAGGGUGCGAGCGUUGUUCGGAAUUAUUGGGCGUAAAGGGCGCGUAGGCGGUGUUGUAAGUCACCUGUGAAACCUCUGGGCUUAACUCA
rnacentral:rRNA from 1 species